CAACGCCGGCGUUGGGAGGAAUGAAAUUCCCUUGGGAUGUAAACUCCUUUCGAUAGGGAAGAUAAUGACGGUACCUAUAGAAGAAGCCCCGGCUAACUUCGUGC
rnacentral:rRNA from 1 species